ensembl:lncRNA
GAAUGGUACACCAGUCCAUUGCAGGGAACCAUGGACACACUGAUUUAUACCUAGAUAAUCGAUCCGAACUUUCCCGUAAGCCUCUACACUAUGCAGACACACUGAAGGCUGACAUGUCAACAGAGCGCUGGGGAUCGUUUUGUCCCAGUUGGUGGAAGGAGAGAAGCGACGUUCUAUGGGUAAUGUACAAGGCUAUGUACGCAACCGCCCUAAAUGGGCCAUGCAAGCCACAUAUGGGACAUGUACAAGUCUUUUCUGUCUUUUAAUGAUUUUGAAAGGGUUAUACAUGUUUUUAUCUGCGAUGGACUGGCACCUGCCUUGUGCCCGAUGAUCCCUGGGAUAGGCUCCAGGUUCCCCGUGACCCUGAAACGGAGUAAGCGGUAGAAGAUGGAUGGAUGGAAGGAAGGAUACAUGUUUUUAUUUUGACCCGCCUUGACUACUGCAAUGGCCUUUAUGUAGGUAUUAGUUAAGCCUCCCUAACACGUUUGCAGAUGGUACAGAAUACUGCUACUCGUCUGUUAACAGGAACCCACACGCGAGAACAUAUUACACCAAUAUUGGCCUCCCUUCACUGGCUUCCUGUUCAUUUUAGAAUUGAUUUUAAGAUUUUAGUUUGAGUAUUUAAAUCGUUAAAUGGACUAGCACCACGAUAUAUGUCUGAUAUAAUACAGCCACUAGCUCCCUCGAGCAAGAGCAGGGGUGACUUUUGCAGUUGCAGCCCUAAAACUUUGGAAUAAUUUGCCUCUACAUGUUAAGCAGGCCAAAACACUUUCUGCUUUUAAAUCUAGUCUUAAAACUCAUUUUUACUCUGUGGCAUUUAACUCAGUACGAGAGCUGUUUUUAUGAUUUUGUUCUUGUUUUAUGUGUUUACUGUUUUAUUCUGAUUAUGUUUGUACAGCACGUUCG